rnacentral:lncRNA from 1 species
UCUGAGUUUAAAUUACUAUUAUAUUCAGGAGUCCCACACCCACUGUUUCCAAACAUAGCUCUUUUUAUAACAACUUCUGACAAUCCUCUAGAGAACAAAAAUUCACUUUUAAUCAAAGUUAAAUGCUAGAACUGUUUCCUGGGAAAUUUAAUUCAAGGUAAACAAUCUACUUGAUAUUGUCUUAUUCACACAAAGCUGUGUUGUUAGAAGAAAUGAUAAUGAAAUAUAAAACCUUUCUCUUCUAGGUUAUUGUUUACAAUCUGGACAAAGCUGAUAGGCAAAAGAAAGCAGAGAAAGCCAAUGUGAAAGGAAUGUGUAGGAUUAGUCACGCUUCUUCCCAGAAGAUAGAUGUUGACCAGUAAGACUAUCAGUUACUAAACACAGCCCUCUCAUUCUACACCCCUAACACAAUCUCUUAAAAAAGAAAUUACAACUUCCAAUCUCCAUUUGUCAAGUAUCUUGAAUUUAAAUAUACAGGUCUUCACAAAUAUGAACUAAAAUUCAACAAAGUUUUGUCUACUAUGUGCUGGACACUAAUAGGAUAAAAAUGACUAGGAAACACUUCUUGCCUCAGAGGAACUUUGCAUGCAAAUGACAACAUUACUUGGCAACAAAAGAAUGUGGACACAAUGUGAAAUCAAGCCGGGGUCCAGCAGUUAGAAUCAGCCCUUCCUUGACUACACCAGGGACAUACUACUACAAAUCAUUCUGUCUUAUACCCCAGCAUCCAGCUAUCCUCUGGAAAUGCUUCUCCCUGAAGUUUACAUCCUUGCUUAGCUAUUUCACUCAUCUACUCCACGGCUAAUCCCUUCAUCUCUGCUUCUCAGAAAUGGCUCUUUCCAAUCCUCCCUUCCAAUCUCUACUCCACAAUUCUAGUGGCCCAGUCUCAAGCUUCCCCUCCAGUGCUCUCAUACCUUCUCAAAGCUGCAAUUCUAGUCCUGAAGAUCUAGGCAGGGGAAACUGGUACUCACACAUUACAUCAAGGAAAGACCUCAGAGGUACACACACCAGUGGAGAUACCAUAGGUUCAGUUCCAGAUCACCUCAAUAAACUUUCAAGUCACUUAGCCUGCUCCAGUCUCCAAGAUAUACAUUAUUUUUCCAAUAAAUCAAUAAAUAAAAUUGGUAUUUUUGACUACUUCUUAGUAUAAAUCUUGUCUUUGUAUCAACAAAUGUUCGAGUGCAUUUUCAUUGUAUGACUAAAUUUCUAUUAAAAAUGUAAAUAAUUUCUGCUUACUCUAUCGAGUCUUUAAUUAAAAGUGGUUUUUAAAGAGUCAAAAGACUUUGAUCAAUUUUUAUAGAAUGCACCAGGGCACGGUGGUUCACGCCUGUAAUCCCAGCACUCUGGGAGGCUGAGGCAGGUGGGUCACUGGAGGUCAGGAGUUUGUGACUAGCCUGGGCAACAUGGUGAAACCCCAUCUCCACCAAAAAAUACAAUUUAGCUGGGCGUGAUGGCGUGCGCCUGUACUCCCCAGCUACUCAGGAGGCUGAGGCAGGAGAAUCACUUGAACUUGGGAGGCAGAGGUUGCAGUGAGCCAAGAUCAUGCCACUGCACUC